rnacentral:tRNA from 1 species
CUAAUUAUAAGUUAAGUAUAAUGUAUAUAUCAUUUACAAUGAUAAGGACUAUUUAAUAGAACUUAUA